GCAAGAUUAAACUCAAAGGAAUUGACGGGGACCCGCACAAGCGGUGGAGCAUGUGGUUUAAUUCGAUGCAACGCGAAAAACCUUACCACUCCUUGACAUGGAAAUUAUACCUAUUCGAAGGGAUAGGGUCGGUUCGGCCGGGUUUCACACAGGUGUUGCAUGGCUGUCGUCAGCUCGUGUCGUGAGAUGUAGGGUUAAGUCCCGCAACGAGCGCAACCCUCAUCCUUAGUUACCAUCAGGUAAUGCUGGGGACUUUAAGGAAACUGCCAGUGAUAAACUGGAGGAAGGUGGGGAUGAUGUCAAGUCAUCAUGGCCCUUAUGGAGUGGGCUACACACGUGCUACAAUGGUGGCUACAAUGGGCUGCAAAGUCGUGAGGCUAAGCCAAUCCCUUAAAAGCCAUCUCAGUUCGGAUUGUACUCUGCAACUCGAGUGCAUGAAGUUGGAAUCGCUAGUAAUCGUGGAUCAGCACGCCACGGUGAAUACGUUCUCGGGUCUUGUACACACUGCCCGUCACGCCAUGGGAAUUGGUUUCACUCGAAGCUAACGACC
rnacentral:rRNA from 1 species